rnacentral:rRNA from 1 species
CAGUAGCCGCGGGAAUACGGAGGGUGCAAGCGUUAUCCGGAUUUAUUGGGUUUAAAGGGUCCGUAGGCGGAUCUGUAAGUCAGUGGUGAAAUCUCACAGCUUAACUGUGAAACUGCCAUUGAUACUGCAGUUCUUGAGUAAAUUUGAAGUGGCUGGAAUAAGUAGUGUAGCGGUGAAAUGCAUAGAUAUUACUUAGAACACCAAUUGCGAAGGCAGGUCACUAAGAUUUAACUGACGCUGAUGGACGAAAGCGUGGGGAGCGAACAGGAUUAGAGACCCGAGUAGUCCCUGUCUCUUAUAC